rnacentral:tRNA from 1 species
ACCUGGGUGGCUCAGUCAGUUGAGCGUCUGACUUCAGCUCAGGUCAUGAUCCCAUGGGGUUUGUGGGAUCGAACCCCACAUCAGGCU